rnacentral:rRNA from 1 species
AUUGAACGCUGGCGGCAUGCCUUACACAUGCAAGUCGAACGGUAACGGGCCUUCGGGUGCCGACGAGUGGCGAACGGGUGAGUAAUACAUCGGAACGUGCCCGACCGUGGGGGAUAACGAGGCGAAAGCUUUGCUAAUACCGCAUACGAUCUACGGAUGAAAGCAGGGGACCGCAAGGCCUUGCGCGGACGGAGCGGCCGAUGGCAGAUUAGGUAGUUGGUGGGAUAAAAGCUUACCAAGCCGACGAUCUGUAGCUGGUCUGAGAGGAUGAUCAGCCACACUGGGACUGAGACACGGCCCAGACUCCUACGGGAGGCAGCAGUGGGGAAUUUUGGACAAUGGGCGCAAGCCUGAUCCAGCCAUGCCGCGUGCAGGAUGAAGGCCUUCGGGUUGUAAACUGCUUUUGUACGGAACGAAAAGCCUUCUUUUAAUACAGGAGGGUCAUGACGGUACCGUAAGAAUAAGCACCGGCUAACUACGUG